rnacentral:rRNA from 1 species
GAUGUACGCUGGCGGCGUGCCUAAUACAUGCAAGUCGAGCGAACAGACGAGGAGCUUGCUCCUCUGACGUUAGCGGCGGACGGGUGAGUAACACGUGGAUAACCUACCUAUAAGACUGGGAUAACUUCGGGAAACCGGAGCUAAUACCGGAUAAUAUAUUGAACCGCAUGGUUCAAUAGUGAAAGACGGUUUUGCUGUCACUUAUAGAUGGAUCCGCGCCGCAUUAGCUAGUUGGUAAGGUAACGGCUUACCAAGGCAACGAUGCGUAGCCGACCUGAGAGGGUGAUCGGCCACACUGGAACUGAGACACGGUCCAGACUCCUACGGGAGGCAGCAGUAGGGAAUCUUCCGCAAUGGGCGAAAGCCUGACGGAGCAACGCCGCGUGAGUGAUGAAGGUCUUCGGAUCGUAAAACUCUGUUAUUAGGGAAGAACAAAUGUGUAAGUAACUAUGCACGUCUUGACGGUACCUAAUCAGAAAGCCACGGCUAACUACGU